rnacentral:rRNA from 1 species
GAAUAUUGCACAAUGGGGGAAACCCUGAUGCAGCGACGCCGCGUGAGUGAAGAAGUAUUUCGGUAUGUAAAGCUCUAUCAGCAGGGAAGAAAAUGACGGUACCUGACUACGAAGCCCCGGCUAACUACGUGCCAGCAGCCGCGGUCAGACGUAGGGGGCAAGCGUUAUCCGGAUUUACUGGGGGUAAAGGGAGAGUAGGUGGUUCGGCACGUCGGAUGUGAAAGCCCGGGGCUCAACCCCGGGACUGCAUUUGAAACUGUCGGACUAGAGUGCAGGAGAGGUAAAUGGAAUUCCUAGUGUAGCGGUGAAAUGCGUAGAUAUUAGGAGGAACACCAGUGGCGAAGGCGGCUUACUGGACUGUAACUGACACUGAGGCUCGAAAGCGUGGGGAGCAAACA